GAGUUUGAUCCUGGCUCAGAUUGAACGCUGGCGGCGUGCUUAACACAUGCAAGUCGAGCGGUAACAGGCGUAGCAAUACGUGCUGACGAGCGGCGAACGGGUGAGUAAUGCUUCGGAAUCUUCCUCGUAGUGGGGAAUAACCUGGGGAAACUCAGGCUAAUACCGCAUACGAACUACGGUUGAAAGCAGGGGAUCGCAAGACCUUGCGCUAUGAGAUGAGCCGAAGUCGGAUUAGCUAGUUGGUGAGGUAACGGCUCACCAAGGCGACGAUCCGUAGCUGGUCUGAGAGGACGACCAGCCACACUGGGACUGAGACACGGCCCAGACUCCUACGGGAGGCAGCAGUGGGGAAUUGUUCGCAAUGGGCGCAAGCCUGACGACGCAACGCCGCGUGGAGGAUGAAGAUCUUCGGGGUCGUAAACUCCUUUCGAUCGAGACGAAUUCCCCUGGGGUGAAUAAU
rnacentral:rRNA from 1 species